rnacentral:rRNA from 1 species
AUGAACGCUGGCGGCGUGCCUAAUACAUGCAAGUCGCGCGAACAGACGAGGAGCUUGCUCCUCUGACGUUAGCGGCGGACGGGUGAGUAACACGUGGAUAACCUACCUAUAAGACUGGGAUAACUUCGGGAAACCGGAGCUAAUACCGGAUAAUAUAUUGAACCGCAUGGUUCAAUAGCGAAAGACGGUUUUGCUGUCACUUAUAGAUGGAUCCGCGCCGCAUUAGCUAGUUGGUAAGGUAACGGCUUACCAAGGCAACGAUGCGUAGCCGACCUGAGAGGGUGAUCGGCCACACUGGAACUGAGACACGGUCCAGACUCCUACGGGAGGCAGCAGUAGGGAAUCUUCCGCAAAGGGCGAAAGCCUGACGGAGCAACGCCGCGUGAGUAAUGAAGGUCUUCGGAUCGUAAAACUCUGUUAUUAGGGAAGAACAAAUGUGUAAGUAACUAUGCACGUCUUGACGGUACCUAAUCAGAAAGCCACGGCUAACUACGUG